GGGCUGCUUUCUCAGGCAUUUCACAGCUGGCAGUAGGAGGGCAAAGCAUGGCGCUGGGCUUUCGGCUGCAUCUGCAGCUGCGAGAUUGGUGGAGCUCAGUGGGCAGCAAAGUGUUGGGACUGCGGGAUGGACGGGAGCUCCUGAUGGAGCAAAAGGGGUGGUGGAGGCAGAGGACAGGGCUGGGGCACUAUGUCACCUCCCGCUGUGGGCUCCGGAGGACUUCUUUGGGGACUGAGUGGAUGGCUCAGCAAGGUGCCAUUUCUAACACUGAGCAGGGUGGGGAUCACUGUAUGGGCUUUGCUGGCCAUGGCUUUGGAGCACGCCUCCUGCAUCUGCAGGGACAGAGGGGGCAGAUGGGGAGGAAGAAGAGGAGGUGGAGGAGGAGGAAGAUGAUGAGGAGGAGGUGAGACUGCCCGGCCUAUCUCCCCGACCACCCGGAUCUGCUUUCAAAGCGAGCCCCAGUGAAGCCGUGGGGUUGAGGCGAAGCAAACAGACGCCGUAAUUGCGCUGCACACUGUCUCAUCUCCGUGGCGAGUUGCAAAAUGUGCCGCCUACCUCCCUCGUCAGCCAGCUUUAAUUGGCUUUAAUGAAGAGCUUAUACGCUCACACAUACGGAAGCACUGAUGUGCAGCUCGGUCAGCCCGGCACCUCUCCUUCCAAAUGGUGGCCAGAGGACGGCCUUGAGAGAGCCGAUGCCACUCACAGCUGUUGCCCGAUGCCACCCAUAGGAUCUCCUACGAGAAGCAUCUCUACACACAGAUAAAAACAGGCAAAGAUGACUCAAAGCCACUUUACUGGCUGCAGAAAAAAAGGGGCAGGGUGCUUGGUGAUCUACAGUUCACUGUGCUGCUGCAAGGAUUGGCCCUUCGUGAUCUCCAGUAAAUACUAUCAGUGCAGCACAGCAGGGUAAUAAAAGGUGAGCACGACGGGCAGCUGCAGCCUGACUGGCACCAUGUGGGACUGCCACAGACUUAAUGUGCACAGAGCACACCAACGUCAGUCAGGGCUGAGGUCUCCGCCGUUUAUUACCGUUGCUGCAAAAUAAAGACUGCCCAAAUAUUUACGCUAUCGGGAUGGGGUUUGCGAAUGUCCCGUCUUGUUAAAAUCGUGAGCUGUAGCCCAAAGCAUCUCCUGGGCUCACUGGGUGACCAAAUGUCCAGGGCACUCCAUGUAAAUAGGGUGUAUUUCAGGGCAAGCCACCAAUGUUCCCUCAUCCUCAACCAUUUUGGCUCUCAUUGAAGGAGAAGCAUUGGGUCACAGCCCAUCCCAUGGCAGCCAGGCCUGUGUGCUAACCUAUCAGCACAGGUUAAUAUCUCGAAGCACUCAGGUCCCACAUGGGAUAAGACCCAUAGAUACGAGCAUUGUAUGGUGGGUCACGCCACCAAUAGCGACCAGUGGGACACGGACGGGGGGACAACUUCUGGGCAGAAGCAAACACACACACACACACCUGUAACCACUGUAUUGACCCAGCGUGCCCGUGUGGGUUCAAUGCUCAUGCCCUUGUAUGGCUGCAGCACUGGGAGCCCGGUGAAGGACCGGCUUCCUGGAGAUGAGUCUUUCUGCCCCCGGCCCCUCGCGAUGCUUUCAUGACUGUGCACGGCAGUUUACAGCACAUAGCGGCAACACACUGAGUCAGUGGGAUGAAACACGUUCAAGCUGCUUUGGAAAAAGGAGUCUUAGUCAGAUAAAUAUUAGUAAAUUGAGCAACUGGGGCUACGUGAUAUUGCUGAUUAAUACAUGGCUUGCGUACGGCAUGAAAAACUCUCACAGAUUGAGGAAAGAUGCUUCCGCCGCUGCCCUUGUUUAAGUUAGCCCCAAACCAGCUGAAAAGCUCCAGCCCUGCUGCAUUUCAUUUGCUGUAAUCAUUAAACAAACAGCCUUGGUGGCCUCCAUCUGUCUUGUUGAGACCUUCCCAAGCGAGGUGCCCCGGGACAAAAGCAUCUGCCCCUGCCUCACCCAGCUCUGCCCUGAGACCUGAGCUGCUCUGCCUGGGUCGCGGGCUGGGGGCUGAUGGCACCGCUUGGGCCAGGAUGUUUGUGAGGGUGGAGGAUGGUAACAAACCAUAACCUCAAAUUUCCCAGAGUACUUGAGGAAUACUCACAUUCCAUUAUAUACACACACACAUAUAUAUACGUAUAAAGGAAUAUAAAAAUGUG
ensembl:lncRNA